UAAAAACGGGUAGAGAGGAAGAAACCGAAAAAGAAAGAAAGAAAAGAAGAAGGAAAAGGAGAAAAAUAAAGAGAAGAAGAAAAAUUAGGUGCUUACUUCUUCUAUGUACUAUUUUCUUUAAGAGAACGACACCCUUGCUGGCUAUGUGCAGAAACAUGCCACCAAAAGGUUGCAGAUUGUGCAAUGGAGCAUUCCGAGGGACCUUAUGGAGAAAACCUUGCUGCGGGCUCAUGGGGUCUGAGCGCAAAGGAAGCUGUAGAUAUGUGGAUUGAGGAGAAGUUUUAUAAUGAGAAAUCGAACACUUGUAAUGGAGGGGAAUGCUUGCAUUACACACAGGUUGUUUGGGCUCACACAAAGCAAGUUCGCCGUGCCAGGGCUAAAUGCCAAGAUUGAUGGACAUUUGUUAAAUGCGAUUACGGCCCUCGUGGCAAUUACAUUGGUGAACGUCCUUAUAAGGCUAAUACAGUAUGUUUGACCGUGCUUAAAAAUAACUUUUUAGCCAUUUUUCAACGACAUAUGUGACGAUAUAUUACGGGCUUGUUCUUUUCUGGCCAGAGACUAAUUUUGUAAUAGAAGAUGAAAAGAAAAUCUUCAAUCUUUCUACAAGCUUGCACAAUCUAUUUGCUUAUCGCCUAGUUGGACGUUGGAAUAUUUAUGUAUGAAUUUCAUUUAUUUCUUC